AUGGCAGCAACUCUCUAGGCAACUGCUGAAUUUAUAAGAAUACAGAUGGUGCCUGCCAUUUCUUUUUUUCAGCACCACACUGCAUUCCUCAUCUGACAUGUGGAACUUGUUUGGUACCAUAAUGCAGCAGCUGGAGACACUUUUCUUAGAGAUCUGGAAGACAGAUGUAAAACACCUGUAGGAUGGCUCCCCUUGGUCCUGUUUCUUGACUUUGGCAGGAGCAAACACUUGGUACACGGGUCAGGUGCCCAGAGAGAGGCUGAUGAAGAAACCACAGUGACACCAUUCAGGACGUUGCUAAAUCGCUUCCCCCAUUAACUGGUGACAUUUGAGUUAAACUAAUGAGAAGCAUGUCUGCUGCAAUGCAGUACACAUUUAUUCUUGGAGACUGCUUUCUUCAGCUUAUUUACUGUUUUACCAACACUCUUAGUCACCAUUACAGCUGAUUAAUGAUGCCUUUCAUUAAAGGGAAACUAUUACAGACAUCCUUAUUUGAUCUACUUUGAAACUUUUCUAUUUCUGAUCAUCGUCUUCUGUCCUUCCUUUCUCCUCCUUCUCAUCUUUUCUCAGAAAUGAUAAGUGAGGCAAGAGAUAAUGCCUUCGCAGCCUUUGAGCAAUGGCUGUACAUAUGGCACAUGGUGAAAAUCAGACAAAAAAGUAAAGUGAUAUUCUUGAUAAAACAGGUACUUCUACAUUAAUAAUCUGCCAUCAUCUAAAUUGCCAUAAAAUCCUCAGCUAGACUGAUAUAAUCCUAAUGCCUUUUGCACAAUAGGCAGCUUUUAAAGUACAAAACUAUAUCUCUUCUCUGAUAUAAUCUGUCUUUUAGCAGAACUUGCUGUAUAAGGGAUGGCCUCAGGAUUUCUACACCUGGGGAUGUUCAGCUGCUUGCUUUAGGCUUAUCUGACCUUGCCUCUUUUAUAAGUAGCUCUCUAAAAGGAGUUUUUAGUAAUAUUAGAAGUGCAAAACACUCCGUUCCAAUUUUUUUUUAUUUAACAAAACUCAUGCAUGUGUGUUCUGAGGAUUUUUCCAGAAUUCUGGACAGACCCAUGGAUCUUCUGGAUGGGAAGCAGUGGCUGUACCCCCAUCAGGGGAUGUCUUUUUGAAACCAAUUGACUCCAUUUGAUUUUCUAUGCUGAUGUCUCAUUUUAUACAAUGAAAAUAAAAGGUGUAUUUUGGGCAUUUUUUCCCCACUUUUAUAAGUACCUUCAGUCCUUGGUGUUUCUCAAGACAUCUACAUUUAAUAGCAGGAAUUCCUGGAAAAGCAAAGUGAAGACACUUUCUGGGGCUUUAGCAUUCCCCUCUCUCUGAUAUGCCAGUGUGCAGAGAGCAUGGCUUUUCCAAACCUCUAUCCACUGAAAGUUAACCAGUCACAGUUCAGCUUUGUCUGAUUGGGAAGGAAGAGCAGGGACUACACAACAGAAAGAAAAGCACAUUUUCAGAAGAAUGUGUAGAUCAAUUAUGUCUUGUUCCUAUGACUUUUUCAUAAAGAACAUAUCAUCCAGCUCAUAAAUGCCCAAAAAUAUUCAGCCUACUGCAAAGACAGCAUCUUAACACCAUGCUAGAGAGAUGAGGUAAUGAGAAAUACCUCUCUUUUCUCACAGGUAUCAAGUUACAAAUAUUUUACACCAUGAUUCAUCAGCUAUGUUUGACUUGCAAUUUAUCUACUCAGUUUGCUACUAUUCAUCUUUCUUCCUUAUGCCAUGCUGUCUCCUUGUAUUCUUGAGCAAUAUCUUCCUCCUCCUAGGUUUGAUUUCCUUUCACCCCAAAUCAAGGGAAAUAAAGGCUUGGCAACAUGUCAAUGAGGUAUCUGGAUUGAGGAAAAAAUGAGAAAGGUAAAAAAGCGAAGGUUUCCAGAGAUGUGAUAUUUUGACAGAACAAUUUUAUUCCAUGGUAGAAGGCAGUCUGAUAGGUAAAAUAUUUUUAAAUACCUCUUUGCAGUGGUGCACACAAAUAGAGGCAAAAUCUCUUAUGAAGCCUUUAUCUGAUUUAUUUCUCUGCACCAAUCACUGUUAUACUUAAACCUUACAGGCAACUGUUCCUAUAACACAUUUUCCCAAUUCUUUAAGCAUCUCUUAUGUCUUUGUCCAAUACUAAGGAUGUGGCUGUGCACUCAUGACCCAGAACUGCUCAGCAAAAUAUUUUUUGGAAGUUACUCAGUAAUACAUAGGUAUGGUGCAUUUUCUGUUUGAAAAAGGAAAGACUUUACCCCUGGAAUUGAAGCUACAAUUGAAGACAUUGUACCUGUGAGCAGCUUCUUGAAUAUGACAGAGGAGAGUGUGUGAGGAAUAAGAGUGCAGUGAAUGGCUUCCCAAGGACAGGAGCUGUUUGCAGCCUUUCUCACUCAUAAACAAUAUUUCUGUUACCCACCAGACACAACUGGGUGAUUACUAAAUGUGGAACAUGAGAAAUCAAAUCAAGAUGGUGUUAUGGAGCUCAGUGGACUGUGGUAUUAGAAAUGCGCUUUACUUAAACAGCACUGAAUUUUUAUUACCUUUAGUCAGAGAAAGACACAACAUGAUGCAAAGAAUUUUCUUGUGAUGUCCAAAAUGUAUUUUUAAGCUUAGUUCUUUGUGAAUGUUCUCAUUUCCACAACUCCUGAGUGUUUUGUUUAUAUGAUUUUCCUGAUCAUUGCAAUGUCUUAAAGCAUUACAGCCUCUUAGGGACAUGGAAUUUGCAAAGUGUGUCAUAAUCACAGUAAAGGCAAGACAAAGUUCUGUGGUAAUACAGUGCUCUGGUUCAGUAUAUGAGCACAAGGUCAAUAAGCAGUACAUUGAUGAACAUUCAGUCUGCACUGAGGUGAGAGGAGUAAGACACACUUAAAACAAAUGCUGCAGCUGAGACAUUUUCAACAAAUAAUUUGUGUCCCAGUAGUGGUUUACCUCAGUUGCCCUUUACAUUCUAUGAGGAAAACCUGCACUGCAAAUAUCAGCAUUUGCCUUUGUUUAACAGUGGGAGUGAGCACAGAUUUAAAACUAAAAAAGACAAAACAUAUCAGGGACACCUCAUUCACAAUCCCUUCAAAUCACAGAGGACUUUGUAGUGCUUCAGAUGAUAUAUUGUUCCCCGUACUGCCAUUUCCCAGGUUUAUACAGUCUUCAAAAUUUCUUAUAUUCAUUUUAGAAAGCUCAUUAUACAUUAUAAACAAUUAUGCUCAGCUCUUUUCUCAAAGAUUUAUUCUUUCAAUUUUUUUACCAUCGGUUGUGGCUUUGAACACCACCUUAUCUGCUCAGCACCUGAUAGUUAAGGGAAUUACACAGAACUUGCUAAAACAGCACAUGGUUUGACUUGAUGGUGAUGCACAUGGUGAUGACUUGAAUUUAACCUUAACACAUCCUUGUCAACGCUGGGGCCAAUGCCUUAAUAUAAAUAUCUACUUAUAUGCUCUGAUUGGGGUUUAUUUAGCUGCAGAGAACCUUGUCAAGCACAAGAGUUGGCUGCAGAUCAAUAGCUGCAUGAGCCCAGCCUGCUCUCCUGGACUUUUCUGGGUGAUUAGUUUUGCACCAGGGUCUGCUGGCAGCCUGCCCAUGGCACAUGUUGGGCCAGGGAAUCUCUUUGAACUGCCUGGCAUUUGGGUGGGAAAAUUGUUUACUGUCUUUGGAAAUUCUCAUGUGGAAAUUCUUAUGUUCUAUCUUAUGAGAUAUUUCUAUGAAGAAGAAUCUCAUAUUAGUUAUUUUUUAAAAUACUAAAGAGAAAAGUUGAUGAUUUAGUUCUGGUUGUAAACUGGAGAUACAUAAAUAAGUAAAGUUUAUUCAGGGUUUCAGAUGAAAUGAUAAGGCAUGAAGCUAAACGUUUUUUUUAAACUUUUACCCUCUUCUUCUUUCUUAAUGUAUCAAUACGGAAUGAGUAGCAUAUCUUCAUUUUUAUCUGUGGGAAUAAUCUGCACCUUUCCCCUCCACUUCUUUCUUUAUCUUCCCUCACUCUCUUCUUUUUGCAAAUUGUUAUGCUCCAGGUACACUUAUGGGCACUGUAAUAAAAUUCAAUAAUGCAUUUCAAAAUGUUAUACUUCUGGAAAAUUUAAAACUGCAGAGAGUUCCAAAAGUUAGGCAGCAAAAAUGAAAUAGAUUUUAAUCUAAAAACAUCAUAGAUUUCACUUCUGCUAUUAAAAAUUUUCACAAAAGAAUAAAGAAAAAUGGGAAAGUGU